AUGCCAGACUUUAAGCGGGUUGGGCUUGGAAUACCUCUUGGAAUCGAAAUCCGGGAAACAAGGGUCAGUCACUUCAGAUCGUUCUGCUGGUUGCAAAUCCAAAUCCGAAGCAGCUCUGCAGUGCUUCACAGCCAGAGGUGAGCUGUUCCAUGUCCCAGGUUGUCAGAGGAAUCUGCUGCUAAAGCAACACUUAGAGACAAUGAAGCGACCUGGCAGAAACUGAUUGUUACAGCAGCUCCCGGAUCUCCAGACGGAAGGAGACCCGAGGGCCAUUGUGUGGUAGACGAGAUUCACUCAGUUGGAAUGAGUGGAACUGGCCGUAUCAGUUGUCAAGUGAAACCAAACCACAUUUUCUUAACAUUCAAGUGGAAGCAAAUGGAUCCUCUUUCACUUUCAGGUGGGGAAAUGCAACUGAUUUGAGCUUGGAAGGUGAGAGAAACGCAGCAGACAGGACCUCAGAGGAAGACGAUGAAGAGAGUCACCUAUAUCAGCAAGGUUCAGUCCAACACUGCUGCAGACCGUCACUGACCCGCAGGUGAUCAACGCUACCAAUGCUGUGGAUUGUCGAGUACAAAUGAGCAGAUCCAUUCUAGGCCAUUCCUGUCCCCUGGAAGGCGAUUGGUUCUCGAGAUAUGAGACCAUGAACUCUCCACUCAACGCAGCCAGAGCAUUGGCUCUGAGGAGAGGUCAGAGGAGCAUUCGGUAAGUGUAACAAAUGAGCAAACAAUCCGCUCCACACAUUUGCCCACUCGUGUUGUGUCAGAAGGUUUGUUCCAGGGUCUCUCAUAUCUCAGGGUCAGGGAGGAUCCAAGAGCCGUGGCUGACACGCAGGGAUUCACCUUGAUCAGGAGGCGAGGACACUUCUUGUCCCUCCCAGUGCAGUUCAGGGGCUGUGGCUGUACUUUCAGAGGAAGGACGCGCAGCCGGUGUGGAUGCUAUUCAAGCAGCAAUGUCCAAAAGCUUCAUGGUGCACCUGUUAGGCCAAGAGGAUUGGCUGGUCCCAUCUGCUGGGACUCAGUCAGAAGGGGGUUGCCUCGGAGAAGAGGAAAGCCGUGGGGUUUGGGGGCCAGGACUAGCCAGACAGUAUCCGAGGUGCGGACUAGGCCAGGGUACGUUCCCAUAGUGACCAUGGGUCCUUGCUCGCAUGCGCAGGGUGGAACUGAUCGCCACAUUUGGGGCCGGGAAGGAAUUUUCCUCCAGGGCAGAUUGGCCAGAGACU